ACUACUGUGGUGUAAUGGUUUGAGCAUUGGACUGUGACUCUGGAGACCAGGGUUCAAAUCCCUGCUCAUGGA
rnacentral:tRNA from 1 species